CGAGUUCCACUUUUCCCCAAAUUUUCGCCGGCAAAAUCCACCGCGGUUGGUGCAUCUCCGGCUGAUUCCUUGCAGCCACGGCACCUCCUCGACGUUGCGAUUCCAUUUUGCCACUUCCCGGGCUCCCUCCCUCACCAGACGACGCCCUCCAUGGGAGCUCCUCCGCCACCCCCUUCCUGUGCCGUUCCUCCUAUGCGCCGCCCAUCUCCAAGCGCCUGACUCUCUUCCGGUGAGCCUCCUGGCCCCGUGCGCCGCCCCUCUCCCUUCCCAAGCCACCCCUUCUCUUUCCCCCACCUUCGGCCCCAAGUCCAUGGCUGGCCGUGCCUGUUCCCGUGCGUGCGUGCCUGUGUUGUGUACUGUUGGUGCGUAGGGGGCUUCAUUGGAGAAGAAGAAGGAAGUGUAGGGGGUUAUGGGGAAGUUUCAGGAACUUUUGCGCGCAAUUAACCCGUAGACCUGGGGCUAGAUUGAAAGUUUAUCUCGAUUUUUCUUUAUUUCCUAGAUCUAAAAAGGCUGCAACUUUGGAAAUUCAUAGUAAAUUGUAGAAAAAUCGUAAAAGAGCAAAUGAGGACUUUUUGGAAUCCUUGUGAGAAGAAUUACACAAUAUAUUCAUAAUAUGAUAUGUGUUAGUAAAAGUUUCUGAUGUUUCUAUUUAUCCUUGCAAAGUGCUUUUAGAAAUCCUUUUGAGUUGGUUGGGUGCAUAGUUUGAGUUAUAGAGGUCCAAAGAUUGUGAUUCCAGUUGUGUUGAUCUUGUGAUGACACUCUAUAGCUAAUAAAAAUAUUGAACCUGCUAGUUGUGUACUGUUUUUAUCAUGUUUUGAUUUAAUCUUGAUAAAUAGGUAAUUUUUAGCUUGUUUUGCUUGUCAUUUUCAUAUCUAAAAUUGUGGUGCUCCAAUUGCUGUGAAAUUUUUAAGGUCGGCUAUAAAUGAUUUUCUUGUGCUAUGGUAAAACUUUCAUACUGAUUGGUGCAUGUAUGACUGAGUUAUUGAUUUAACUUGUUUAUUGCUUCAUAAAUGGUUUUAAAUAAGUUAUAACUUUUAUGUAGGUGUAAAACAAAAUAGGAAACGUGGUUCCAAUACAUUUGUAUGAUGUUGUUCUACCAUAAUAACAUAUAAUAUGGCUAUGUGCUGUAGAAAAUGAUGAUCUUUAGAUUUAUCUUGCUUUUACAUGUUUUCUUGCACUAGCAAUUUGUCUUUUUUGUAGAAAUUAAUUUAUACAACUUGAGCAUGUGAAAUUUUUGCAGUAGCCAUGUUGUAAUAGCACCUACCACUCACAAAAAUCUCAACCCCAAACUAGUUGUUAUCAUAUGGCACUAAAAAUAAUAUAUAUACAUGUCAUUCUAUAGAAGUUGAUGAAAGUUUGCUAAUAAAUGCAUAUACUUAAGUCAUGUGAAGCUUUUAAUAGUUAUUUUUGAGGGGUACAUAUGAUGCUAAGUUAUGAUAAAUAGUGAAUAUAACUCAUAGGUAUGCUCUCAUGUUAAUAUAACAGCCACUUAUAUAAGUUCUUCACCUUUGCUUUGAUUCUUGCUUAAGGUAUUUAGGGUGUUCCAUGUUACCUAAGGCUAAUGCUAAUUAACUAUGUCCAUAGUAGUUGUAAGUUAUGUGUUUAACUUAUGCAUAUGUUACCUUGUUAAAGAACUAAAUGAAGAACCUUGUUGUGUGUGUGCUGAAAUGGCUGCUAGAGCAGUUCUGUUGUAGUUAACUUCAUAAUAUAGCUUGUGUAAAAUUUUCAUGACCAUAAGCCUGAUGGUUUAGGAGCUAUAGAUUUUACAAGUUCAUUGUCGGGUUUCGCGUGCUUCAUGUAUAGGUUUGAAUGAUUGUGUUGUUUGACUUAGCUAAGAUUUGAAUCAUAUCUUGGAGAUAAUAUAAUAAAUGUAGGGUUUUUCAUGAGACUUUCAAAUUGUUAAAGAUCACCCCUUUUUGGUGGUUUAAAUCUCUAGUUAUGAGGUUGUGAAGUGGAAUGGCAGAAUCUGUCCUAAUCUGGACAGAGAUGUCUUCUUUGUGAUGUUUGACCUGGUUAACUUUGGUUUUAGCUUGUGGUGUUUGAAAUAAAGUUGUGCAUGGUUUGUUAAGCUUUCUAAAGAGUCUAGAACCACCUUGCUGUGAAAGCUAGAACUCAACUUAUGGCUGUCUAAGGUUUAAUGUCAGCAUCUUUCGAAGUUUGGACAGAUUUUCUUUUUUGUGUUGUGUAGUCUUGUUAAAUGUUGAAUCAUCUUUAGAUGACAAUAAUAAAGUUAUAGAUAACUUACUAAGGUUUCUACCAAGUUAAUAAUCAUGGUUGUUGGAGGUCUAGAACUCCAGAUAUGCAUCUGUGAAGUUCAUGUCAUUUUUCUGUCCUUGUUUGUACAGAUCUGCUAAUUGGUGUGUUUUCACCUUGUUAUUUGUUGAAUCAGCUUUUGGUGUGAGUAACAAAGUUUUAGAUAACUUCCUUAACUUUAUUUAAAGUCUAGGAUCACCCUUUUUGGAUCCUUAUAUCUCUAGUUAUGGUUAAAACGACUACUGUGCUGCUGUCUAGAUUCAGUGUAUGUGCUUAAAUUAUUAGCUUAAACUUGAUGUUGCCUUAUGUGCUGGUGUAACGACCGACCCCAAAACCUUCCCAGAUAGUCUUGAUCAGAGUCCUUGAUCCUAGUCAUCUACCUUGCUUUUUCCCGCGCCGAGUGCUCAGCUUUUCGCCCGGUCCCGACCCCUGAGAUCCGACCCCUCUCCGCUUCGCUUCUCUCCCGACCCCGGCAAGCACCGCCCACCGUCGGAUCCUGCUAAGCAUCCUCAAACGUCCGUUCUAUCCAACCGGUGGACCCGCAAGAUCUUUUUUCCAGAUCCUCCGCAACAGGCGCACUCGAGUUGCAUGCCCGCUUCAGAGCCUUCCUGCCGCGUGGCUCGUCUUCUACGACGCCCGCCGCUCAGUUUGGUCUCUGGCAAGCGACCGAGUGGGUUCUCGCGCCCCCUUCCCCAAUGGCAGCGGAAGCCCUCUGCACCCCUUUCUGCAGGGCCUCGCCUCCCGCGCCCAUCAUCACGCCGCCAGAUCCCGGCCCCAGAGCCCGAUGUCGCCCGUCUUUUUCGUCCCUUCAGCCACAGUCGCGCCGCCCGGUCGCCGCUACACGACGAUUCCUCCACCGCCAACCCCGACCGUGGCCGCGAGAGCUCCUUUCCCCCGCUCUGUCAGAAGCCGCCCGACAAUCUGUUGUUCCGCGCUCGCCCGCGCGCCCGCGUCCGCCUGUCUUCUCACCUGUGCGCCCUCGAUUCUAGCGCCGUUAAACCGGUUGCUUCUAUCAAAUCUUCCGCACGGCGACGCCCGCUUUCCGCCAAAUCUCAACCACCAGUCUACCCGCUCCUACGCCGCCCUGACGACAGAACGCAAUGAUCGCUGGCGUCACCCCCGGAGUUCUGCACCACCGCCCUCUACGCUCAAUCGCCGCCCCGGCAGAGCACUCCAUUGCUUCUCCCCGGCCUUCGCGCCGCUUCCCUUCUCUCUCUCCCGCGCCGCUUCCUUCCCUCUGUUCCAGCAGCUAUAAAAGGAAUGCCCCCGUCGCCGGAGUUCCCUCCGCCCUUGUUGCCUUAGCCAUUCUUUCGCUCUUUGCUCAAGCUCCUAGCGCCGCACACCUAGUUCCUGAGGAACUCUGCUCUCAGCUUUCCCCCUUAGUUGUUCUCCAAAGCUUGCUCCUCCGUGCUGCGUAAAAGCUCUCUUGUGAUCCGCAAGAAGCAGCGCCGCCGCCGGAGCAUUGCCGGUCUUAGCUUCUGUUCAAACCUUAGUCCCUCCGCCCAAGUCUGCCCCUUCCCGACCCCAAGCUUUCCUUUCAGGAAGAAGGUGAGUUGCCGACCCCAGUCCGCCUCGCCCGACCCCUCCUAUCCGCCCGACCCCGGUUCUGUCUCACCCGACCCUGUCUGUUCCGCCGACCCUUAUCCGCCUCGCCCGAGGGCUUGGCUGUGGUCUUUUUCUUCAACCCGAGGGUGUAUGUGUAAAACUUAGGAACCCUUCAGCGCUUGCGUCUGAGGAUCCCUAGUUUUUCCCACAUCCUCUAGUUCAAGAAUCAGAUCAUAAGUUCCUUUCCUACCCUUACCUCUUGAUCAUCAUCAGCUCUCUUGAACCACCAUAAACUCCUACUCUUUGUCGCAAGUUUCUGGGCUCAGGCGAGUCAGUGUUGCUGUUGAAAUAACUGUCUAAGCUAACCCUUGCAUUGCAUUCGUGUAGAGCUGCACCUCGCCGACGGCUUCUACGAGUUACACCCGGCGCCAGAAGAAGAAGCUGUAGCCGAGCUCCUGUCCUCCGAAGCCGAAGUCGCCUCCGAAGUCGAGCAGUUCCCGUCCUCCUUGCUUGAAGGCAAGCCCCGGUUGCAUAAAAAUCCUACGUGUUUUGCAAGACUUGCGCAUGCCUUCUGUAACAUGCUUGUGCAUUUACGUAUAGGAGUUUUGUGGAACCCUAGAUGCAUGACUUAGAUGUCCCAAUGAUCUGAGCACUAGCUGUUGGACCGAGUAGUUGCAUUGCUUAACUAGGAGACGGUAAAAGUCGAGUGAUUUCCUGUCACUCGCGAGUGGUAGGAGUUGCAUGUUUACUCUCCUGUUAUAACUAUAAGGAUGAUGGACGGGGCAGGGUUUUGGUAACUCUUUGGUGGUCGGAUGGUUGCCCCGUCUGUCUAUGAAAUCUUGCUAAGGCCCGACAGUGGUGGUGUUCGUGAUCAAGUGUUUGAAAGUACUAGCCUCAUACUUAGUAUGGGAUGAGGAAGCCUAGUACCUGAUUGAACCUAGACGUGAGCGGUCGCCCCAUUGUUCUUGGAACGAAGUUUCCCCUGCUGGUUGUCGCACGUGGUGGCAAGCGUGGUCACAGGACGGCAGAGGCCGGGUCUAUGGAACCUUGCACCAAAGGAAAUGGGCCCGACACGGGUUAGGGGAUUGAUGGGGAAGGCCGACACAGGAAGCGACCUCCGGGUGCGCGGAUGUCGUGAGGCUAGGUUCACCAUGCAUGGUUAAAGAACUCGAAUCGAUUCGUCUGCCUCUCACAGUUUGAGAUUGCUUGAUCGCUAUGUCACCCUGAGUAAAUGAGAAAUCUGAUGAUGACAUGUUUAUUGAUGUAUCUAUACCUCUUGUUUGGUUCUAUGAAUGCUUAGAAUAGGUGGCACAACCUAGACUGGUAAAUGAACUUAGAACUGGAGCUAAAACUUGAAAAUAGGGUUACUUAGUGCCUUUGGCAAAUAAACCCCUCAGCCAAACAGCCCUGCAUGUCUAGAGGGAGGAGUAGUUUUACUCCUAUCGGUUAAGUCUUGUUGAUCUUAGUAGCUCAGCCUUGUUGUGGCUCCUGUUUUUCAGGUGAAGUUGCUGCUUCCGACCCCUCUCUGGUUGGUGCUUGGCCGCCCCAGCUUCCGCCAGGCUGGACGGUCGAGUGGGAUCCUUCCGCAGACGGCGAGGAGAGGAACCAGUGAUAUCCCGGUUGGCCUCACCAGGGAUGUCCGACCCCGACGUAGUCUUCCGCUAGUGUUUUACCCUUGUUGUUUUUCCUUGAACCUUGCAAAAACUCUGAUGUUGGAUUUUAUGGCCGAACUAAAUGGGUAAAACUUGUUUAACUCAGUGGACUUGUUGUAUUCUCUGUAACCACUCACCUUCGUGUGGGUUUGCUAAACUCGAUCCUGUUUAAGUGGUUAAAUCGGAUGAAAU
rnacentral:lncRNA from 1 species